GGGAAAGCUUUAGAGUCCAACAGCCAUCUGUUUAUACACUGUCCUUUGACUACUCAAUUGUGGAUUUUGUUUCUUAACUUGGCAGGCUUAGUAAGACUAUGCAUGCUAGUUCUGCUGAUCUGCUAAGAGCUUGGAACAAUAAGACGGACACAGUGAGACAGAAAGAGUGGUGGAGGUUGGUCCCUGCUUGCAUAUGGUGGUCAAUACGGAAAGAGAGGAACUCAAGAUUUUUUGAAGAUAAAUACAAUUCAUUGCAAAAUGUUAAGAUGAAUUGUAUCCUUUAGAUUUAUUUUGUGUAAACAAAGCAAUUUAGAGAGUACAG
rnacentral:misc_RNA from 1 species